rnacentral:lncRNA from 1 species
GGGCUGAAGGGAAUGGAACUUUUGGUGAAUAUAUCUUGGGUAACUUAUCCGCUCUCUUGUCUUUAUCAUUUAGAUUAAUAUCAGUACUGGGCUCAGAUUCUUCUAUUGGGCUAGUCUCAGUACUAAUCUCCUCUUCUAAAUUUUUUUUUGGCUAGCAUUAGUACUAGCCUCACUCAUCUGGACUUGAUAUGGGUCCUUAAGAAUCCUAUCAC